UCACGUGUGAAGCAAAUUUCUUUCAUCAUGGAAGCAAAUUCCCGGGUCUAGGAAGCAUAAUUCGCUACAUUCAAAACAAGCUAUGUUAGAAACAAAUUCUUCAGAUCCAAGCAAAUUUAAGUUGCAUCGGAAGCAAUUUGAAUAAUAUUUUCCCUUGUCAUUUUUUUUGUUUCCUAACGAAUCAAACUAAUUGCGCUAGAGUUAAGUUAAAAAAUCCAAAAUUAGUUCCUGAAAACCCUGAAGAGUUUAAUUUGGGAGUAGUUAAACAGAAAUUCUACGUAUUCACCUCUAUCAGAGCAACUUUUUUUUUUUUGAGAAGUGGAUAUUUCAUUGAUUUAAGGGAAAGCGGUUUAGAGAGUCAUUCAGAACAAACACAUCAUCUUCAGUUGGGAGUGGUACAUGCCCCAUCCAGAAGUUGUUAACAGCGUGAACUCUGGCUAGUUUGGCAAGCUCGCGAGCUGCCUGGAUUGCUCUCCCUACCAGUGUUACAAACUCUGAAGUUGCGCAAGACAGACUCCUAAAUAUGUGAUGCAAAGUUGUUAACAGCGUGCACAAAAAAACAUUGAAGAACCUGUCAAUCUGUGAGGACAACACUAUUAUUCAUGGUGUCACCAACUUUCCUCUCAUAAAUAUGAGACGUCUUCCAAGGAGCAGUCGCAUAGUAGAGGAAUGGAAGUGCACUGUGUGUUUUACCUUGCUGGUCUGCAUGUAACGGUAUGAUACGGUACCCGAGAAAUAUCAGGCAUAGGGAUGAGAGGCAAUGGAAAUAUGUGCAUGACAUCGAUGUUUCUUAAUUCUUGUCCACGAAAAUUCUAACGUUUCCCCUU
rnacentral:lncRNA from 1 species